GAGAAGGGCGUUUGGUGAAUGCCUUGGCAGUAAGAGGCGAUGAAAGACGUGAUACUCUGCGAUAAGCCAUGGGGAGCUGAGAAUAAGCUUUGAUCCAUGGAUUUCUGAAUGGGGCAACCCACCUGAUACUUUGUUAUUACUGCACUUCGGUGCAGCUAAUAACUUGGUAAACCAGGUAUUUUUAGGCUGAAUAUAUAGGCUUAAAAAGGCAAACCCGGGGAACUGAAACAUCUAAGUACCCGGAGGAAAGGAAA
rnacentral:rRNA from 13 species